rnacentral:rRNA from 1 species
UACGAAGGGGCUAGCGUUGUUCGGAGUUACUGGGCGUAAAGGGUGCGUAGGCGGGUCUUUUAAGUCAGAGGUGAAAUCCUGGAGCUCAACUCCAGAACUGCCUUUGAUACUGAGGGUCUUGAGUAUGACAGAGGUGAGUGGAACUGCGAGUGUAGAGGUGAAAUUCGUAGAUAUUCGCAAGAACACCAGUGGCGAAGGCGGCUCACUGGGUCAUUACUGACGCUGAGGCACGAAAGCGUGGGGAGCAAACAGG